GACGUAGGGCGCGAGCGUUGUCCGGAUUUAUUGGGCGUAAAGAGCUCGUAGGCGGCUUGUCGCGUCGACUGUGAAAUCCCGCGGCUCAACUGCGGGUCUGCAGUCGAUACGGGCAGGCUAGAGUUCGGUAGGGGAGACUGGAAUUCCUGGUGUAGCGGUGAAAUGCGCAGAUAUCAGGAGGAACACCGGUGGCGAAGGCGGGCCUCUGGGCCGAUACUGACGCUGAGGAGCGAAAGCGUGGGGAGCGAACAGG
rnacentral:rRNA from 1 species